GGGCGGGAAGGGGGCUGGGGCCCUCUGGGGCCACCUCUGCGGGCUCCACAGCCUCUCAAAGGAGCAUCUCAGGCUUCCCCUCCCCUUAGACCUGCUUCUGAUCGGCCUGCCAGGCCCUUAUCUGUGUGGAGGGACAGGCCGCUUGCUGAGAAGCCUGGAGGUGUGGACUGGCUGGCCGCUGCCCUGGUGUGAAGGGGUGUCCCCGAAGGUCAGGACGUCUUCACUGAGAAUGUGAAGGCUGUCAUUCAAAAUGGUACCUGACCCAGUGUUCGCUGGCUACUGCCUGCUUCAGACAUGGGAUCCGUUUAAUCCUUCAGCUGCUGACAAGCAAAGAACGAAGCAAUGCUGCUGGAUCCUUAACCCACUGAGCAAAGCCAGGGAUCAAACCCACAUCCUCAUGGAUGCAAGUCAGAUUUGUUUCUGCUGUGCUGCAGUGGGAACUCCCAUCCUCUUACUCUGCUUAGACUUAGCCAGAGAACUUCCUGGUGGUGGGGGCUGGUUAAAGAAGGAUUCCUUCAGCACCUGAACCCUGGGCUCUCCUGGGAUGGGAUGCCCUGCAUCUAGGAUUAGCGAGGUUUAAGGGACUUGCUCAAAGCUCUGCGAGAACUGAGGGCCGGUGGUGAGACCAGAACCAAGAUUAUCUGAUUGUUCCCAGGUCACAACCCUUUUCAACUCAUCGGACUGGUUGCUCCCCCUGAAUGCACCUUAUUUUCCCCUCAAAGGCUGUGUGCAAAGACUAUGGAAUGCUUGCUGGCCUCUCCUUGGUGGGAAGGGGGUGAUGAGGGAGUUUAAACCUUAGAGCCCCAUUCACUGUUGUUCAGCCUUGGAAGUGGGACAGACCUUCAAGAAGAGAGACUCAGUCACCUUGAAGGUGACCCUUUAUUUUUUUUUUGGAUAUUUUAUUUUAUUAUUUUAUUUAUUUAUUUAUUCUUCCAGUUGUAUUGAGUUAUAAUUGACAUACCUUAGUUUUUUUUUUUUAAUUGACAUACCUUAAAUAGCAUUAUGCUCUUCACCUUAAACUGCAAAAGUUUAAGGUGAACAGCAUAAUGAUUUGACUUACACACAUCAUGAAAUGAUUACCCCAAUAGUUUCAAUGAGCAUCUAUCAUCUCAUAUAGAUACAAAAUGAAAAAAAAAAAAAUCUUUUCCCUGAGUUCCCAUUAGUGGAGCGGAAACGAAUCUGACUAGGAUCUGGGAAGAUACGGGUUUGACCUCUGGUCUCACUCAGUGGGUCAGGGAUCUGGCCUUGCUGCGGCCGUGGUGUAGCCCGGCAGCUGAAGCUCUGAUUUGACCCGCUAGCCUGGGAACUUCCAUAUGCUAGAGGCGUGGCCCUAAAAAAGAAAAAAAAAAA
rnacentral:lncRNA from 1 species